GGUGGGUGGAGUUUUUGCUCAAGGCUCCUGAGUACAGUGCUGGGUACUGCUUUUCUGCCCAAGGCCGCCACCGCCAUCUUGAAUUGUGUCCUGCUUAGGGUUUCUACAGUCCUGAGCUAACGUGGCACUGCAGCUGUUCCACACAAAGACCUCUGGUCUGUGGUGCCAGGGUGGAAUCAAGGCCUCUGCACACAACACCGUGUGAGCAGGGCAGCUUGUGGGAUCACAGGUCCAUGACCAGAGAUGGAGCCUGGGGCCUCUGCAGUGGAAGCAGGAGUCCUUACCACUGGACCAUCAGGGAAUUCCCCAGAAAGCUUCAUUAUAGUCCAUAAGACUGUUCUAUCUGAAGGAGAUCAGCCCUGGGAUUUCUUCGGAAGGAAUGAUGCUAAAGCUGAAACUCCAGUACUUUGGCCACCUCAUGCGAAGAGUUGACUCAUUGGAAAAGACUCUGAUGCUGGGAGGGAUUGGGGGCAGGAGAAGAAGGGGACAACAGAGGAUGAGAUGGCUGGAUGGCAUCACUGACUCGAUGGACGUGAGUCUGGGUGAACUCCGGGAGUUGGUGAUGGACAGGGAGGCCUGGCGUGCUGCGAUUGAUGGGGUCGCAAAGAGUCAGACACCACUGAGCAACUGAACUGAACUUAAAACUUUGAUUAAAAGGACUUUUAAGGAAAUCACAUGCUGCUUUGUAUAUAUUUGUCUGGCUGAGAUGUAAACAAUUUAUUUCUGCUGAAAAGUAUAACCCUUUAUAUUUAUUGUUCUGUGAGACAUUAACCAGUUUGGCUUCCAAUGAAACAAUCUUAACAUUCUUUUAUUGAGUUCCUUCUUAAUGUGGAGCUCCCUGAAUGCUUCAGUAUACAUUCUUUGAUGUUAGAAACAGAGUGUAAAAUGAAAAUUCCCUUCUAAUGUAUUCUGAAGGGCAGAGCUACAGAAACACAUAUUCCAAAGACGAACUUUCAGUGUAUAAGAAUACAUUAAGCUUUAUUUGAGACAAAUUGAUUUAUUUUGUGAAGAGAACAAAGGAUAGAAUUGACUAAAUCAAAAAGAUGAAAUGUUAAUUCAUGUGAUACUUAAAAGGAAAUUCUACCCACCCAUUUCUCUAGUGGUCUUAUUAAUACCACUGCAGUCCAAAUACAGUAAACAUGGUCAUCAAAGAAUUUACAAGUAUAUUCAGUUUUCUCUGAUUUAUCAACUUCAUUUUCUCACUGAAUAAUCUUUCUUUUCAUUACACAUAUGAAUUAGUUGCAACUGAAAGUUUAUUUUUUUAGCCUUCUAUUUCAAUAACUGUCCUAAUAAUUGUCACUUUGAUUGCUGUGGCAUAUAUGCACUGAAAAAUGAUAUGUCACUCAAGAUUUUUUAUAUAUAGAUGGUGAUGUUCUUUUUUGAACUUUCUGACUUAAAUUAUUAUAAUUAUUUAAUUUACCAAAUUAAAUAUAAAGAGACACCUAUAUAAAGAGACAGCCAGUUUUAUAAGGUUUAUUAAAAAAAAAUCAGUCUAAAGACCCUUCCUUUACCCUUCCUCAUUUCCCCUUCUUCAGGUAACUGUUUUUGAAUCUAUUAGUUGAAUUUUUGUGAUUUAUUUCCAUAUCUCUAGAGAAUGUACUUGAUUGAUCUUUCAAGCCUUCUCUAUUGGCUUACAACAGAGAAGUUGAACAUAUAAUUUUUUUUCUUCUUCCUCAAGCCCCAGCACAUACACAUACAUUUCCCAUCUCCUGAGCAUGUGUGCUCAAUCAUGUCUAUCUCUUUGUGACACCAUGGACUAUAAUAGACCACCAGGCUCCUC
ensembl:lncRNA